rnacentral:rRNA from 1 species
ACGAACUGCGCGAACGUUAUUCGGAAUCACUGGGCUUAAAGAGUUCGUAGGCGGCCUGAUCAGUCGGGUGUGAAAUCCCUCGGCUUAACCGAGGAACUGCGCCCGAUACUGUCAGGCUAGAGGGAGACAGGGGUGAGCGGAACUGAUGGUGGAGCGGUGAAAUGCGUUGAUAUCAUCAGGAACACCGGUGGCGAAGGCGGCUCACUGGGUCUCUUCUAACGCUGAGGAACGAAAGCUAGGGGAGCGAACGGG